GGAGCACUGCUCGCCCUCGCCCGUGAGUAACCCGUCACUGGUGCUCCGUACACGUCCAGUACCCUCACGGGUCUCGCCGAGUUGUAGAGACUUCUGUCUCGCCGAGUUGUAGAGACUUAUGUGAAAUCGCGCUUUGGGCUGUGCAGAAUGCCUGGCAUAGGAUAUGACUGUCAAUAUUUAGCUCAACAAGAAGACAUGGCAUUUACACACAAAAGGAAGACAUGAUUCAUUGGUUUUAAGUAAAUACAACAUAAUGCAUCCUAAAAGUGCCUGGACUCUAGGGCUGACUGAUGGAGGACCCACCAUGACCCAUUAAUCCCCUAAUAAUUAACACAUGGAAUGGGGUACCAGUGAUGAAAAAUGACCACAAUUAACUCCCUUUCAAGACUCAUUCCCAGAUAUCUGAUCUGACCAAAACUGGGAUCUCUGGGUCCUUAAUUAACAGUGAAACAUCCUCUCAUUCUCUUGGUUCUGCUUCUGUUGAGAGGCCCUGCUUAAAUCACUUUCUUCAGCUCGUUGAAAGCAGCAGGACAAAAAAAGCACUGCUACUACCACAAAGGAAGCUGGGCCACUUACCUUUGAAGAUGGCUUGCACACCUCAUCUUUAAGUCUUUCCCUAAGAAUGGAUGGUAUGUCAAUGACCCCAUGAAGUUAAGAGACAGUUAUUUUCAUAGCUGGGAUGAUAGUGCCAACUGCUACUAGAAAGAGGAUGAGACAUUUAGACCACUGUGUCAAAGCACAAGCUCUUCAGGCAAAUGUUUCAAAUGUGGGAGCAAGAGUUUUCAGAGCCUACGUUCGCCAUGUUCAGGUCCAGUCCCUGUGCUUCUCCAUGGCCCAUCAUUCUCCCUGUGUCUGCUCUGCCUCUCACUGGAUAGAUGUAGGUGAGAGAUGUGCACCCCAGUACUCACUGUUUUGGGUCCCAAGUAUACAUCUACAUUGAUGGCAUAGCUAUGAGCGUAGCUGCCCCUUCCUCAUUCACCACAUGCCUGUGUUCAUUUUGUCAUUGGUGAGCACUGUGUUGUGCAACCUUCUAGCCUAGAUCUGGCCCCAGCAUCCUGAAGCAUAUGAGGCACCUUAGAGAAAAGGUCUAAAUGGGCCUUAUAAGAAAAUGAGAAUACUUUCUGUUGCAUUGUGUUUUGAGUCUUAAGUUACAGGCACAAAGCUGCAUGAAUUAAACAUUCCUAAAGUCUGUCUACUCAGCCUCUUACACUAGUCUGUCCACAGGAAAGGCAUUGAAAUAAAAGGAAAGAUGAAGAGCAAU
ensembl:lincRNA 1700001L05Rik RIKEN cDNA 1700001L05 gene